CUGCCAGUGAUAAACUGGAGGAAGGUGGGGAUGACGUCAAGUCAUCAUGGCCCUUACGAGUAGGGCUACACACGUGCUACAAUGGCGCAUACAAAGAGAAGCGACCUCGCGAGAGCAAGCGGACCUCAUAAAGUGCGUCGUAGUCCGGAUUGGAGUCUGCAACUCGACUCCAUGAAGUCGGAAUCGCUAGUAAUCGUAGAUCAGAAUGCUACGGUGAAUACGUUCCCGGGCCUUGUACACACCGCCCGUCACACCAUGGGAGUGGGUUGCAAAAGAAGUAGGUAGCUUAACCUUCGGGAGGGCGCUUACCACUUUGUGAUUCAUGACUGGGGUGAAGUCGUAACAAGGUAACCGUAGGGGAACC
rnacentral:rRNA from 1 species